UAGGGUUUUUUUCGCUUUAACCCUACAGUGUGGGAUAUCGUUGGAUAGGUCUUGCAAAACGAAUAGGGGUCUUCAACAAACAUUUUUUGAUAAAGUGGAUAUUUUCGGAAAUAAUCGCUCUGAAAAUGUGGUAAAAUGUGUCCCCCCCCCCCCUGUAACUUCUAAAAUAAGAGAAUGAUAAAACUAAAAAAAAUAUAUGAUGUACAUUAUCAUGCAAACUUCCACCGAAAAUUGGUUUGAAUGAGAUCUAGUAAGUAGUUUUUUUUUAAUACGUCAUAAA